rnacentral:rRNA from 1 species
UACGUAGGUGGCAAGCGUUGUCCGGAUUUACUGGGCGUAAAGAGCGCGCAGGCGGUCGUGCAAGUCGCGUGUGAAAGCCCCCGGCUCAACUGGGGAGGGUCACGCGAUACUGCUCGACUCGAAGGCAGAAGAGGGAAGCGGAAUUCCCGGUGUAGUGGUGAAAUGCGUAGAUAUCGGGAGGAACACCAGUGGCGAAGGCGGCUUUCUGGUCUGCUCUUGACGCUGAGGCGCGAAAGCUAGGGUAGCAAACGGG